GAUGAAGAACGUAGCGAAAUGCGAUACUUGGUGUGAAUUGCAGAAUCCCGUGAACCAUCGAGUCUUUGAACGCAAGUUGCGCCCGAAGCCAUCAGGUUGAGGGCACGUCUGCCUGGGCGUCACAUAUCGUUGCCCAAUGCCUAUUGCAGUGCAAUAGGAAUUUCUAGGGCGAAUGAUGGCUUCCCGUGAGCGUUGUUGCCUCGCGGUUGGUUGAAAAUCGAGUCCUUGGUAGGGUGUGCCAUGGUAGAUGGUGCUCGAGUUAGAACGAUACCGAUCAUGUGCAUGCUCCCCAAAAUAUGGCCUCUAUGACCCACACGCGUCUUUUGACGCUCAUGACGAGACCUCAGGUCAGGCGGGGCUACCCGCUGAAUUUAAGCAUAUCAAUAAGCGGAGGA
rnacentral:misc_RNA from 1 species